rnacentral:rRNA from 1 species
AUAAUACCAACGGCGUAAAGAACGACUAGACACAUGAAUACCCGCUUAGGGACGAAGACAAAUCUGGGCUGUAAAAAGCCAUAAGACACAUUAACCACACCCUAACAAUAAAACAAUUUCAACUCGUGAAAGCCGGGGUACAAACUAAGAUUAGAUACCUUACUAUGCCCAGCAGUAACACAACAAUUAAAUAACGCAUUGUUCGCCAAAUAACUACGAGUAAAAACUUAAAAUUUAAAAGACUUGACGGUAUCUCACAACAACCUAGAGGAGCCUGUCUAAUAACCGAUACCCCACGAUAAACCCAACCCCGGCUGGCCCAACAGUCUAUAUACCGCCGUCGCCAGCCCACCUUGUGAAAGUAACAAAGUGGGCAUAAAAGCCACAACACUAAAACGACAGGUCGAGGUGUAACUCAUGCCGGGGUAAAAGAUGGGCUACAUUUUCUACCACAGAAAAAACGAAUAGACUUUGAAACAAGAAACUGAAGGUGGAUUUAGCAGUAAGCUGAGAACAAAUAUACUCAACCGAAAUCAAUGCAAUGAAAUGCGUACACACCGCCCGUCAUCCCUGACAACCAACUCAACCACAAAAAUA